UACGUAGGGGGCAAGCGUUGUCCGGAAUCAUUGGGCGUAAAGCGCGCGUAGGCGGCCAGAUUAGUCCGGUGUGGAAGUCAGAGGCUCAACCUUUGAAUGCCGCUGGAAACUGUCUGGCUUGAGUCCGGAAGGGGCGAGUGGAAUUCCUGGUGUAGCGGUGAAAUGCGCAGAUAUCAGGAGGAACACCAAUGGCGAAGGCAGCUCGCUGGAACGGUACUGACGCUGAAGCGCGAAAGCGUGGGGAGCAAACAGG
rnacentral:rRNA from 1 species